GGGGCAGCCUUGGUUCCAAACGGAGUGGCUGGGCCGGUGAAGUUUCGCUGUGGCUUUGGAGACCCUUGCGCUUUUGUAACUUAGUUUUACACGUCUUACCCCAAGUAUACCUUCAAUAUGAAUUGAUCUGAAGAAGUGGAAGAAUAACGCCUGAAGAGCUUCUUCACCGACAGUUUCUAUUUAAUACUUUUAAAAAGUACUCCAGGAAAGCACAAAAAGUAUUUUUAAUAAAUGAAUUUAUAUUGGCGAAUAUUGGAUGGACUCCCACCAGUAAGGGAGUCAACGAAUCACUUUUUAGAUGUACAGAAAUACAAAACGAACAAAGAGCUAUUAAAUUCGUAUUCAUUCUUUUAUUAAGUCUAUCGUUAUCUCACUUCUAAGUAAGUACAAUUUCUUAAAAAUGGCAUAGUAUGAAAUGUGAUUGAGACUGGACUUAUCUGGGGUUCCUAGAUAAAUCUUACAUCUUAAGUAUCUUGACUCUUCAGCAUUUAGCAUACUGUCUUUGAUCUUCAAUCCCUUUAAAGGAAUGGGAGAUGAUGCCUGUGUUGGAGUAAAACCUCUUUUAACUUGAAGGCUGACCUUUCUUAAAGUUGGACCUUAGAUAUUAUCAGAAAUAGAAAGAGCGAGAACUCUGGAGCACCUCAAUUUUCCGUCUGUGAAAAGGGGUUGUCAACUGAACUUAAAUGAAUCCCGAGGCUUUGGCAAGAAAUAAAUGAUAAAGAUUUAUUCAAGGAUCUUCAGGCUUGCAAACCAGACACACAAUUGGGCAAUACCCAGAGUAUUCCCAAAGUGGAAAGAAAAGCUGAGGGUUUCAUUCUUGAGAAGAAUCAGUCCUGCAUUCUUAGCCUCUGGAAUGGUCUGAGAUGUUGCUCUGGGGAAGCCAGCUGCCAUGUUGUAAGGAUACUCAAGCAGCUUUAUGGAGAAGUCCUCAUAGCAUGGAACCAGGACCUCCUGCCAACAACCAGCACUAAAUUGCCAGGCUUGUGAGAGCUAUCUUGGAAGCAGAUCCUCCAGCUGCAGUCAAGUCUUCAGAUGACUGCAGACCCAGCUGAUCUCUUGAUUGCAAGGUCAUGAGAGACCCUGAGUCAGAACUAGCCAGGCUUGUCCCUCAAGGUUACAAAAUGGCUGCAGCAGCUCCAGGCAUUCUAUCCUUCAUUCAAUACACAAAAUUCAGACAAGAGAAAGAGGAACAUUUUGAAGUGUGAAGAAAACUUUCCCAGAAAUCCUGGAAUCCCCUCAUGUUUCAUUGGCCAGAAUGACACCACAUGAUCAUUCCUAAACCAGUUAUUGUCAAGGUGAGUGGAAUUGGUGAUUGGAUUAACUUUACCUGGAAAGCAACCUCAGAGGCACUGGAGAGUUUCAGCCUUUUUUGGAGAUCCUAGCUACUCCUGACCAAAAUAAAAAUUCCAAUGGCACAAUUGCUGUAAGAACUCUCAUAGGAAAUGUAUUUAAUUAAUAUCUGCAACAAGUUUCAAAGGCGGCUGCUGGAAGCACACAGUAGGCUUAAAUGUGAACUUGUCCUUGUGCAUAAAAGCUCCCACACCCAUGUUCAACACACCUUGUGAUGAAACCUUGUUCAGCUCUAUCCUGCUAGAACUAAUGCUCCAAAUGCAGGGAUCUUUGUUUUGUUUCUAUCAACAGUGCCUAGAACAGCACCUGGAAUAUAGUAGAGACCAAUAAAUAUUAUUAAUUUAGAAAAAUUCCGAUGGCAAGAAAAAAGAGGAGAAUUGGUAUGGAGCAGGCAUCCAGAAGCAUCUGCACUGUGCUUUUCUCAAGGCUUUUUAAUCUAUACUUCUGCUUUUUUGCCACGGGACACACAACACUUUUGCCCCAACACAAGUCUUGCUUUCUGGUUUCUAUACACUAGGCCCUUGAGCCUUACAAAUGUCACAGACCCAACAGUCACUGUUGGAGUGUCUGGCUGAAGGAUCCCCAGUUUGACAAAGUGGGGUGUUCGUGCUCUGGCAAUCCAAGAUAUUAUGUCAGGCUCAACAGCAUCUUUUGCCAAAGGAUGAAACUUCACAGCCAUCAGAUCUCCAUGCCCCUAGUACCACAGCAUUUAGUGGAAUCAGUUGUGUUCGAAGGGCAGGGUGGUGGGGGUGGCAGUUUUGGGGGUAGGCACCAAGGGCUUGUGUGAUUUGUAAAGGAUGUUAAAACAAUUAUAAACCUCUAAAGGCAAUGUGGUAUCUUGAAUUGAACCCUGGAGCAGAAAAAGGACAGUAGUGGAAAUACUGCUAAACUCCAAAUAAAGUCUGUAGUUUGGUUAAUA